rnacentral:rRNA from 1 species
GACGAACGCUGGCGGCGUGCCUAAUACAUGCAAGUAGAACGCUGAAGCGAGGAGCUUGCUCUUCUUGGAUGAGUUGCGAACGGGUGAGUAACGCGUAGGUAACCUGCCUUGUAGCGGGGGAUAACUAUUGGAAACGAUAGCUAAUACCGCAUAACAAUGGAUGACACAUGUCAUUUAUUUGAAAGGGGCAAUUGCUCCACUACAAGAUGGACCUGCGUUGUAUUAGCUAGUAGGUGAGGUAAUGGCUCACCUAGGCGACGAUACAUAGCCGACCUGAGAGGGUGAUCGGCCACACUGGGACUGAGACACGGCCCAGACUCCUACGGGAGGCAGCAGUAGGGAAUCUUCGGCAAUGGGGGCAACCCUGACCGAGCAACGCCGCGUGAGUGAAGAAGGGUUUCGGAUCGUAAAGCUCUGUUGUAAGUCAAGAACGGGUGUGAGAGUGGAAAGUUCACACUGUGACGGUAGCUUACCAGAAAGGGACGGCUAACUACGCG